CACACACACAUAUACACACACACAUAUAUACACAAACAAUUUACUUUAUAGUACUUAUGCAUCAUUAUUUUAUGGAUGUACAAAAAGCACCGAAUUAAACUACAGUCCUAAAUUAUUAACAUAUAUUCUGGGGUGUGUGUGUGUGUGUGUGUAUUGGGUUCUUUUCUGUUUUGGACAAACAGUUGUGUAAAGUUUUAGUCUGAAUUUAUAUUUGUAACACUCAGUUUGCGGAUUUUAUUUUAAAAAAAGGGCUCUGAAAGUUUGCCCCGCCCCCACCCGAUUAAUCGGAAAAAUAAUCGGCCGACUAAACGAUUCUCAAAAUAAUCGUUAGUUGCAGCCCUAAUUUUGAGCUUGUGUUCACCACAGACCUUAUUUCAGGCCUUUAACCAAAAUCCCUCACUGACCAAGUCAUUGACGUUGGGAUGGACUCGGAAGCGCUGAAACGCUAACUCGUUGCCGGGUUUCAGCGCACAAAACGACGUCAUCCCUGCGCCGAAGUUUUCUAUGAGCGGAGGACGAACUUUAAACAUCAAUAUCGCAGUCGAUCGUGUUCGUGUAAUUGUGGGCGGUCAAAAUCCUAAUCGAGAUCGAUAUUCGAUUAAUAGUGCAGCCCUAUGUUGAAACGACAAUGCCGUGUGACUUGACUUUGACAAAGGGCUCCGUGAUUCAAUGUUACGUUGCGUCGUGGGAUCGAGCCGCAAGACCGAGCUCCCUGUUUACGUCAUUACGAACACCCAAAUGACAACCGGUCUAUAGUUCGAUAGAUAGCUGGAACGGCGGAAUAGUGUCGGAGUUUUUGUCGUAGAAACAGAAACGUUAAUGGAGUUACGUUGAUGAAGAGAGCGAUGGAGAGAACGAAAUAAAGAGCGAGCUCGGGUUUUCUCGAGGCGAUACGGUCAGAAAACGGCUGUUAACACGACCCCGGGGUCUAUUCGCGGAGAACCGCGAGCACGCGUCAUCCGGAGUCGGCUACUGAGUGACAUCACGGUCAGAAAUGACUUCUUUUCGUUUUGAUUUGUAGGAAAAGCUCCACUACGAUACCGCCUAGACACGCUCAUUUCUGGGCUCGACCAGAGAUCAGCAUCUCCGCGGUGUCGAUAAAGAUGAUAAAAAGACAAGUCUGUUUCAUCAGGGUGAUGCUCCAGUAUUAAAAUCUCCACCUGAGGGCAUUUUAGAGGCAAUAACCCCUAGGUCUUGUCCACACCCAUGAGUCAGUUUUGGAACACAGCUGAUGCGCCGGAGGUCUGACCCAUGACCUUUCCGUUACAUCAGCCAAACGCAUCUGUUGUGUCAGCACAACACUUCAAAUUUAAAGAUCUGUCCACUUCAGCAUCCUCAAUGAAUAACACGUAUUCUACUUUAUGUUCAUCUGAUACCAAUCCCUCCUCACAGAUUAGACAAAAUCAGAUCUCUCACAGGAGUCGUGUUUUCUCACAGGACGGCUUUACUGCACAAGGGGCGCUUUGAGACGCUAAAGCACAUGAGCAGGACGCCCACACAAAUUCCAACCAUGAAACUAAUCAGACAUGAAGUAAUCAGACUAUUCGUCAACGAAUAGAAUUCAUAUGAUCAAUUUUAUAUAACCAUCAUUACGCUGGCCUCAAUCUUUAUUCUAAUGUACGUGAACGUUUUUAUUCCGAAUAAAGCGUGUGAACGUUUUUAUUCCGAAUAAAGCGUGUACGUGAACGUUUUUAUUCCGAAUAAAGCGUGUACGUGAACGUUUUUAUUCCGAAUAAAGCGUGUACGUGAACGUUUUUAUUCCGAAUAAAGCAUAUGAAUGUGAACGUUUUUAUUCCGAAUAAAGCGAAUAUACGUGAACGUUUUUAUUCCGAAUAAAGCGUGUGUGCGAACGUUUUUAUUCCGAAUAAAGCGUGUACGUGAACGUUUUUAUUCCGAAUAAAGCGAAUAUACGUGAACGUUUUUAUUCCGAAUAAAGUGUACGUACAUGAAUGUUUUUAUUCAGAUUGCCGUGAAUGCUAACGUUUUCACUUUGAUUAAUGUGCAUCUGUGAAUGUUUUUAUUCCGGCUGACGCGCACACGUGAACCCGUUUAUUCCGACUAACCCACAUACGUGAACCCGUUUAUUCAGACUGACGCAUAUAAGUAAAUAAUUUUAUCCCAAAUAAGGUGCAUGGACGUGAACAUUUAUUAUUCAGAUUGAAUACGUGAGUGUUUUUAAACCUGAUUAAGGUGUAUACAUGAACAUUUUAUUCUGGUUAACGUGUAUACGUGAACGUUUUUAUUCCGAACAAAGUGUAUAUACACAUUAGCCUUUUUAUUCUGACGGACAUGAAUACGUGAGAGUUUUUAAAUCUGAUUAAGGUGUAUGCAUGAACACUUUAUUCCGAUUAACGUGUAUAAGCGAACGUUUUCGUGCCGAGUGACGUGCAUACGUGAACCUUUUCAUUCAAAUUAAAGUGUGUAUAUAUGAACGUUUUUAUAUUCCGGAUAAAGUGUGUAUACGUGAACGUUUUUAUAUUCCGGAUAAAAUGUGUAAACGUGAACAUUUUAUAUUCCGGAUAAAAUGUGUAUACGUGAACAUUUUAUACUCCGAAUAACGUGUAUAUACGUGAACGUUUUAAUACUCCGAAUAAUGUGUAUAUACGUGAACGUUUUAAUACUCCGAAUAACGUGUAUAUACGUGAACGUUUUAAUACUCCGAAUAAUGUGUAUAUACGUGAACGUUUUAAUACUCCGAAUAACGUGUAUAUACGUGAACGUUUUUAUUCAGACUGACGUGAAUGUUAAUGUUUUUACUUUGAUUAAUGUGCAUCUGUAAAUGUUUUCAUCCCAACUGAUGUGUAUACGUGCACUUUUUUCAUUCAGAUUAACGUGACUCCGUAAAACAUCUUUAUUACGCGUAUCGUGAACAGAGCGUGGUCAUAUGACCGCACGGUGCGAACAUCCAGGUUCAUGGGAAAUACAACCGGCUAGAAACCCGCCCCUUACUCAGACGCACGUUUAAACUGCUGAGGAGACGUCCCUCUGAUAAACGAACCCGAUCCGAAUGGCAGCUGAUCGCGAUUCGUUACGCCGCGAUAUCCUUUUACGAGACAUCGUAGUAUGUUUUCAUUUUCCGGCGUCAUCUCUCCGCCCCGGCGCCCGUUCACGCCGCUGCACCGCAGACGAAACGUUUACUAGUGAGAGCCGAGGUUGGUUCGGAAACAGAACGUCUGCGUUUAACGCGUGAUUAGACCUGCUGCGAGAAAGUGACGCAACGGCACAGUUACGUCUCCGUCCCCGGCGUUAAGCGCCCGAGAUUAACUUUUCUUGCACGCUCUUCUGCUUUUUGUGUCUUUCCUCCUCCUCUCCCUCACUCUCUCCCUUAGUCACAGAACGAACGUUUGCAGCCGAACUAACUUACUCCGUACGACAUCUCGUUUGCCGAUGAACGAUAAUCUCUGUGGCGCAAGAGGAAUAAAACACUGUGCCGGACACCCGCCCUAAUUCAGCUUCGUCUCUCACAGGACCGCCGCUGAUUAUUUUCCUCUCACAGCACUCCUUUGCGAGUGUUUGAUCCAUCCAUCCCUUACUUAUCGCUCAAAACGCGUAGUAUUGAAUAAAACACCUCGUUUUUCCACAGGAAAAAAAAUAAUUAGGACGUAAUCUUACGAAAAGUCAAAUUCUUUUUUUCUUAUUUUAUUUUACUCACAGUCAGCUUUUUAAA
ensembl:lncRNA